rnacentral:rRNA from 1 species
CACACUAUCAUUAACUGAAUCCAUAGGUUAAUGAGGCGAACCGGGGGAACUGAAACAUCUAAGUACCCCGAGGAAAAGAAAUCAACCGAGAUUCCCCCAGUAGCGGCGAGCGAACGGAGAGGAGCCCAGAGCCUGAAUCAGUGUGUGUGUUAGUGGAAGCGUCUGGAAAGGCGCGCGAUACAGGGUGACAGCCCCGUACACAAAAAUGCACAUACUGUGAGCUCGAUGAGUAGGGCGGGACACGU